rnacentral:rRNA from 1 species
UACGUAGGUGGCAAGCGUUGUCCGGAUUUACUGGGCGUAAAGAGCGCGCAGGCGGUCGUUCAAGUCGCGUGUGAAAGCCCCGGCUCAACUGGGGAGGGUCACGCGAUACUGAUCGACUGGAAGGCAGGAGAGGGUAGUGGAAUUCCCGGUGUAGUGGUGAAAUGCGUAGAUAUCGGGAGGAACACCAGUGGCGAAGGCGACUACCUGGCCUGUUCUUGACGCUGAGGCGGCGAAAGCUAGGGAGCAAACGGG